CCUUGGUUAUCCAGUAAACAUAAACAUGUACAAUGUUUCUGCUGAUAUCAAACACAAACAUAAUACCUCAUUUCUAUCUUUCUCUUUCUACCGUACUUUUUUCCUUCUUCCAUUUUUUCUUCUUCCAACUACAACAAAAUCUAAACGAUACUUUUGUAACAUCAAGACUAUCUGACUUUUUUUUACAGAACCAAAGAAAAGAAGGAAAGUUGGAACAAAUCACUGCCAUCACCCGAGACUUCCGCUUACGAAUCCGACAACACAGCAUCAACAAGUCAGACGGGAACCGCCCUUCUCGACGCAACAGCCUAUGUGUCGCUGUCGUCGCCGUCAACUCACACUCCCUCUCCGAUGUGAAUCGUGGCCACCACCGUUCAACGCAGCCGCGCCGGAUCUCCGUCCAAUCGCCCUCAGCCGACAAAGCUGCAGUCGUUCAUUAAAAUCUACCCUGUUGGUGUUUAAAGUAAAGUUUCCAGCAGCACCUAAUCCUAAUCUCAUCUCACCUUAAAUGGGCCAAAAUGGUGGAAGGAAAAGAUGCAAUCCAAGGCCAAAAUGGUGGAGGGAGAAGCAAGGAAGUUGCGACGGUUCUAACAGCUUGAUCAAGUGAUUAAGGAUCUUGCAAGUGCAGGACUUGAUUCUUCCAAUCUUAUUCUUGGAGUUGAUUUCACCAAGCGCAAUAAUGAGUGGACAACAAAAAAUCAAUUUAAGAGAAGGAGUUUGCACUAUGGGAAUGUUUUGUAAAUUAAAUUUUGUUUAAUGCUCAUUUCAAGGAUUUAGCUUCAGUGAAGAUUGAAGAGUUGAAGUUCAUGGAAGGAAGAGGUAAAAUGAAAGACUUAUUGAAAUGGAUUAUGGCUACUUAUACAGGCCAAAUAGCUGAUGGAAUAAGAGAUGACGAGUAUGAGAGUCACAAGGAAAACAUAAAGAAGAACUAUCAUGAUAUAGUAGGUGAGAAGGAGAGUUCCAAGAAAACGAGAAAGAAUAACUCUCAUGAAAAAGAUGAGAAGGAGAGUUCCAAUAAAUCGAGAAAGAAGAACUCUAAUGAUAGAGGUUAAGGAGAGUUCCGAGAAAAAGAGAAAGAAGAAAUCUCAUGAUAGAGAUGAGGAAGAGAGUUCAAAGAAAAAGUGAAAGAAGAAAAGCUAUUAAUGAUCAAGGUAUUGAAAAAGAGAAACAAGAAUACCUUUUAAUGAUGGGAGUGUAGUAGAAGUUGUCUUAGAUGUAGGUGCAAAAAAUAUUUGUUUAAGUGGCUUUGAUUUUGAUAACUUUGUCUCUCUGUAUUAAUGGAUUAUGUUUUGGUUGUGUUGAGUGAAUUCUAACGUUCAUAGUGUAUAUGUGUAGAUUGUAGUAAUCUAACUACAAUUUUUAAAUGUUUGU